AUUGAACGCUGGCGGCAUGCUUUACACAUGCAAGUCGAACGGUAACAGCACUUCGGUGGCUGACGAGUGGCGAACGGGUGAGUAAUACAUCGGAACGUGUCUCGUAGUGGGGGAUAACUACUCGAAAGAGUAGCUAAUACCGCAUGAGAUCUAAGGAUGAAAGCAGGGGACCUCCGGGCCUUGCGCUACUAGAGCGGCUGAUGGCAGAUUAGGUAGUUGGUGGGAUAAAAGCUUACCAAGCCGACGAUCUGUAGCUGGUCUGAGAGGACGACCAGCCACACUGGAACUGAGACACGGUCCAGACUCCUACGGGAGGCAGCAGUGGGGAAUUUUGGACAAUGGGCGCAAGCCUGAUCCAGCAAUGCCGCGUGCAGGAUGAAGGCCUUCGGGUUGUAAACUGCUGUUGUACGGAACGAAAAGCCCUCUUCUAAUACAGGAGGGUCAUGACGGUACCGUAAGAAUAAGCACCGGCUAACUACGUG
rnacentral:rRNA from 1 species